rnacentral:misc_RNA from 1 species
GAUGAAGAACGUAGCGAAAUGCGAUACGUAAUGUGAAUUGCAAAUUCAGUGAAUCAUCGAGUCUUUGAACGCACAUUGCGCCCCCUGGUAUUCCGGGGGGCAUGCCUGUCCGAGCGUCAUUGUUGCCCUCAAGCACGGCUUGUGUGUUGGGCCCCGUCCUCCGAUCCCGGGGGACGGGCCCGAAAGGCAGCGGCGGCACCGCGUCCGGUCCUCGAGCGUAUGGGGCUUUGUCACCCGCUCUGUAGGCCCGGCCGGCGCUUGCCGAUCAACCCAAAUUUUUAUCCAGGUUGACCUCGGAUCAGGUAGGGAUACCCGCUGAACUUAAGCAUAUCAAUAAGCGGAGGA